rnacentral:tRNA from 1 species
AGAUGUGUAUGUGUGUGCAUGUUGGACUCGAGUUCCAGAAGACCAGGGUCCAAAUCCCUGCUCAUCCA